CUUCAGUGUUUCCUUCUUCCCCUCCCCUUUUCUCGUGCAUCUCAACAACAGUCUACCUCUCUCUGUCUCUCAUUUUCAAUCAAUUUAUAUGUUAUAUUCAAGACAAACAGAGAUAGACUGGUUAGCUCUAAAUUCCAAUUCCAAAUUCUCAUGGGAACAGAAUCAGUUCUGCAUGGAUCAGGUUUUCAUGCUUCUCUCAACUAACUGUCCUCAGUAGAGCAAGGGCCAUGGUAGAAAGCCCUUACCUAUGAAGUUCCCCUGGGAUGCCCUUCGUGGGAAAGAUAUGUCUGCCAUUGCCAGAGAUGAAGCAACAUUUCAGUUGAGCCAUUUUGGGGAAGGUGAAUAGUAUGAAACGAAAAUGUGUGACAAUCAUUUAGUGUCCUUGAACGUCAUUAUUAUGAAGAAACUGUACAGAGUUCUCAUCUGCAAGAUAUUCAACAUCAGUAAUCACAUUUCUCGUGAAGACAAAUAAAAGGGAAUUAUACCCAGGUGCGUAUGUGUGCUCAUCUCCCCAGUGGUUUGCUACAAA